GCAGCAGCAGCAGGCAAGCAGAUGUUUGCUUU
rnacentral:SRP_RNA from 1 species